UGGGGAAUAUUGCACAAUGGAGGGAACUCUGAUGCAGCGACGCCGCGUGAACGAAGAAGGCUUUCGAGUCGUAAAGUUCUUUUAUACGGGAAGAUAAUUACGGUACCAUAAGAAAAAGCCCCGGCUAACUACGUGCCAGCAGCCGCGGUAAUACGUAGGGGGCUAGCGUUGUCCGGAAUCACUGGGCGUAAAGGGUUCGCAGGCGGAAAUGCAAGUCAGGUGUAAAAGGCAGUAGCUUAACUACUGUAAGCAUUUGAAACUGCAUAUCUUGAGAAGAGUAGAGGUAAGUGGAAUUUUUAGUGUAGCGGUGAAAUGCGUAGAUAUUAAAAAGAAUACCGGUGGCGAAGGCGACUUACUGGGCUCAUUCUGACGCUGAGGAACGAAAGCGUGGGUAGCAAACAGG
rnacentral:rRNA from 1 species